AAGGAUCAUUACCGAGUUUACAACUCCCAAACCCCUGUGAACAUACCUAUACGUUGCCUCGGCGGAUCAGCCCGCGCCCCGUAAAAAGGGACGGCCCGCCCGAGGACCCCUAAACUCUGUUUUUAGUGGAACUUCUGAGUAAAACAAACAAAUAAAUCAAAACUUUCAACAACGGAUCUCUUGGUUCUG
rnacentral:misc_RNA from 1 species